rnacentral:rRNA from 1 species
GAGAAUUUUUCACAAUGGGGGAAACCCUGAUGGAGCGACGCCGCGUGGAGGAUGAAGGCCUUCGGGUUGUAAACUCCUGUCAUGCGGGAACAAGAAAGUGAUAGUACCGCAAGAGGAAGAGACGGCUAACUCUGUGCCAGCAGCCGCGGUAAUACAGAGGUCUCAAGCGUUGUUCGGAUUCAUUGGGCGUAAAGGGUGCGUAGGUGGCGAUGUAAGUCUGGUGUGAAAUCUCGGGGCUCAACCUCGAAAUUGCAUUGGAUACUGCGUUGCUAGAGGAUUGUAGAGGAGAGUGGAAUUCACGGUGUAGCAGUGAAAUGCGUAGAUAUCGUGAGGAAGACCAGUUGCGAAGGCGACUCUCUGGGCAACUCCUGACACUGAGGCACGAAGGCUAGGGUAGCAAACG